AUAGGGCGCUUCCAUGUUUAGCUAAGCGUUGCACAAGCUAAAACAUGAAAGCUUUGUUGCCAUAAAAGCUUAAAACUGACAAGUGCAGUUCUGCCAACUGUUGAGCUCCGAAAUAAGUUUAAUUGUAGAUCAAAGUAGGCAUACGAAAAGUAGCAAAUAUAUUUAAUUAAUUAAGUAAGUAUUUGUUUUUAGUGUAUUUUCUAAGUAUUCCCUCCAAAUAUUUUCUAAUAGGUGUAUUUUAUAAGUGUCUUCUUCCAAAUCUUUCCUCUAAGCGUUUUUUUUUUCUAAGUAGUUCCUCUAAAUAUUUCCUCAAACAGCUUCCUACAAAUAUUUCUUCCAAGUGUUUCCUCUCUAAUGCUUUGCUGAACGAUCAAGCACUUUACUUCACCUUAUGGCACUGCACGAAGACCCCCACCAGGCCUGGACGACUGAAAAAUUCUGUAGCAGCAGCCCUUUAUAUAGGGCGACAUUUACUCAAACCUUAAGUUGCACUCAAAUGUUGUGCUCGAUGUCAGCUUCGUCUUACUUAAACGUAUACCAAAGGAAUACUGCUGCAUACAUAUAGACAACUUAAAGGAUCUUCUGUAGUCUUUCUUCGUCGUUCAAGAAUGUAUAUUCUGUUAAGAAUUAGGAGUCCGGCAUAGUUUGCUACAAUUUCUGGCUAUUCCUUUCUAUACUCAUUUCCAAUGGCUAGAUCUAGCCUGAAAUAGGCUAAACUAGCAACACUGGUCAAGUGCCAUAAAAGUUAAAGCACAAAACCUUAGCCAUAAAAGCUUACCAUACAAGCUUAACAGUUUGAAAGAGCUAUGCUUCUGCUUUGGCUAGGAGUUGGAGGGUCUGUAGUCGUAGGCGGGUCCCAAGCGAACAGAUAGAUUAAUGGGCUGAUUCAAAUAAUCCUUGAUGCGUCUAAUAAAUAAACAAAUAUAUUAGAUAUCUAUAAUAAAUAUACGGCCGAGGUAAACAAUAA